rnacentral:lncRNA from 1 species
CCAAAAUCAGCUGCCUACGCAGAGGACAAACUUUACCAAACCUUAUCCUGACUCUUUCUACAUACCCAGAACUGUAUACUUUAAAGCCAAAGGGAAACUAUCUGAACUGCAUCACCAACUCCAAUGUUUUCAGGAACAAAGUAGGUAACAUAAAAAGCAGGCUUGUGGAAGAUAAAUCCAGUGGGUCUAUUAAUGAAGACCAAUCCAGUCUCAGUGUGGAGGAUGCAACAAGAAGAAAAGAGCUACUCAGAGAACUUGAGAAAACAGAAUUUACUGUCAAGAUAGAUUACUUCCUUGGUUCCAGAAACCUCAUCUUUCUCACCUGCCACUCAGACAAGCCUCAGUGAAUGCUGGUUCAGAGGAUACUGUACAGACUGGAGAAUCAUGCAUGGAAGAGAACUUGAGGUCUUCAAUGGGACUGAUCUCACCUUUUCCUGAGCUUGCUGUGGAGUGUAGGCCAUGCAGAACUGCCAAGUAAUAAGAUGAUUCGAAUGGAUGCCACAACUCGUGUAACUAUGUCAUGGGAUGAGUCCAUGCCUGAAAGACACUUCCUGUGAGUCUUGGCUAAUAACAGGUGGGCUACAUUUGGAAACAGUAUGAAUCUGUCAAAUAUGCUGUAGCAGGGCAGGUGCAGUGGCGCACGCCUAUAAUCCCAGCACUUU